UACGGAGGAUCCGAGCGUUAUCCGGAUUUAUUGGGUUUAAAGGGUGCGCAGGCGGAAUGUUAAGUCGGCGGUGAAAUUUUGCAGCUCAACUGUAAAAGUGCCUUCGAAACUGGUUUCCUUGAGUGUAGAUGAAGUAGGCGGAAUUUGUGGUGUAGCGGUGAAAUGCAUAGAUAUCACGAGGAACUCCGAUUGCGCAGGCAGCUUACUAAACUACUACUGACGCUCAGGCACGAAGGCGUGGGGAUCAAACAGGAUUAGAUACCCCGGUA
rnacentral:rRNA from 1 species